rnacentral:rRNA from 1 species
UUUUAACGGCCGCGGUAUUCUAACCGUGCAAAGGUAGCGUAAUCACUUGUCUUCUAAAUAAAGACCAGUAUGAAUGGCUAAAUGAGGACUAGACUGUCUCCUGCACCCAAUCAGUGAAACUGAUCUCCCAGUUCAAAAGCUGGAAUAUCCCCACAAGACGAGAAGACCCUGUGGAGCUUAAAACCUUCUACUAAUAAACAGAUGGUAACUAGUAUUAGUUUUAAGUUGGGGCGACUUCGGAACAAAACAAGACUUCCGAGCACAGAACCACCAAUUCCAAGCCUAGGCCAACAAGCCAAGACAUGAAAUUGACCCAGUCAUACUGACCAACGAACCAAGUUACCCCAGGGAUAACAGCGCCAUCUUCUUCAAGAGUCCCUAUCGACAAGAAGGUUUACGACCUCGAUGUUGGAUCAGGACACCCAAAUGGUGUAGCCGCUAUUAAAGGUUCGUUUGUUCAACGAUUAACAGUCCU